UACGUCAGCGGCAGACGGAUGAGUAACGCGUGGGAACGUACCUUUUGGUUCGGAACAACACAGGGAAACUUGUGCUAAUACCGGAUAAGCCCUUACGGGGAAAGAUUUAUCGCCGAAAGAUCGGCCCGCGUCUGAUUAGCUAGUUGGUGAGGUAACGGCUCACCAAGGCGACGAUCAGUAGCUGGUCUGAGAGGAUGAUCAGCCACAUUGGGACUGAGACACGGCCCAA
rnacentral:rRNA from 1 species